rnacentral:rRNA from 1 species
CGCCACCUGAAAUUUAAUAGGUGGUACAUCCUGCCCAGUGACAAAACUUUAACGGCCGCGGUAGCCCGUGCUAAGGUAGCAUAAUCAUUCGCCUUUUAAUUGAAGGAUAGUAUGAAUGGACAAACGAAAGUUCUGCUGUCUCUUUUCUAUAAAUAAAAAUUAACACCCGGGUGAAGAGGCUCGGAUAAAGUAAAAAGACAAAAAGACCCUGUAGAGCUUAAUUAUUCUUUCACCAGAAAAAUUAUUUAUAAACUAAACACAGUGAAAAAAAAUUUGGUUGGGGCAACCCAGGAACACAACUAACCUCCUGCACAAAUUAGACACAUUAGUCACCAAAAAGAAGCAGCCUCAUGCUAACAAAAAGUAAUAGCUACCUCAGGGAUAACAGGCCAAUCCUUCUCAAGAGUUCAUAUCGACAGAACGGGCUUGGUACCUCGAUGUUGGCUUAAGGUCAACCGCUCAAAUGCAGAAGUUUGAGUGGUAGGUCUGUUCGACCUUUAAUCCCUU